UACAGAGGUCUCAAGCGUUGUUCGGAUUCAUUGGGCGUAAAGGGUGCGUAGGUGGCGCGAUAAGUCGGGUGUGAAAUCCCGGAGCUUAACUCCGAAAUUGCAUUCGAUACUGCCGUGCUCGAGGACUGGAGAGGAGACUGGAAUUCAUGGUGUAGCAGUGAAAUGCGUAGAGAUCAUGAGGAAGACCAGUGGCGAAGGCGGGUCUCUGGACAGUUCCUGACACUGAGGCACGAAGGCCAGGGGAGCAAACGGG
rnacentral:rRNA from 1 species